GGGGGGGUGGAGGGCAGCAGGGUGAAGUCCCAUGAAGACACCAUAAACAUGUGUAGAAAAAGUAGUAAAGUGACUUUACCUGAGAAGCUAAUGUUAAGUUCAGCAAAGUAUUUUCAUUUUAGACCAUAUGCUAAGGUCUUGACUAUGCCUUUAAAAAUGGUACAGCUGUUGAUGUUGUGUGGGACUACCAACAAAAACUGGACCAGAUGUUUUAUCUACUGGAGUAAAUGCUAAUACUCACCCAUAAAGGGAGCAGGCGCCAAGAACUUGUGAAACAGGUGCUGCAAAACACAUAGCUAUAUUUGGAAGAGAUUUUUGGAUACCACCUACAUGGCAAAGCAUGAGGUAUUGAUUUCAAACUUUUUAAACAUUCGUCUUGUGGAAAACCCCCACAAAAAAUCUUUUGGGAGGAAGUCUGCAACAGGAUGGAUACACUGUCACAAAAAUAUGGCAACGAUUUCAUAAGAUGAUACACAGCUAAAUGAACAAUAAACCACCUAUUCAGGAUAUAACUUUCUCCAUGUUACAUUUUAUGACCAGAAAAACAUUUGCAAGAAAAAUACUGACACACUUAGAACUUUGAAGAAUGACCCUCUUGAGCAUCCAGUAGGAUACAAAUCAUUCCCUAGAGCACUGUAAGUUCUAACAUCUUUUAAAGAACAACAAUGGAUUAAUCUUUUCAUGUAUGUCACAGGUAAAUUAUGUUAACUGAAGUAGUAGAUUUUUAAAGCAAUUUCAAAUUAAAAUUGUCUUAAAAGUACACUAAAGUAGGAAAAUUAUAAUUAUAAAAUGUAAUGAAUUAAAGAACUUUGAUUUGCUCUACUUGAACAUAUGCACUGUAACAGUCUUGUUCUGCAGUACACAAAAGUUCCUGGCAAAGUAAAGCUUUUGCAGAUCUUGCUUUGAUAAAACUAAGUAAAAGAAAAAAUUUCUUUCUUCUUUCUGUCUCUUUUGCUUCAUUCACCACCUAUCUCAAACUCUAAAUGGCAAAGAGGAAUAUGGUGUAAAUUAGGCAUAUAAAUUAGCCAAAUUACACAACACAUUAUGUGCACAAAAUUAAUAACACCCACUUGAAGUGUCAGGAAGUGCAAAUGAGAAGUUUUGAGACCUUUAUCAGUACAUUUUUAACAAACUCUACUGAGGAUAUAGAAAUUAUAUCCUCAAAGGUUUUGUAAUUUAGACAAUUCUGUCUGGAUGUUCCUUAGAUUGGCACAUUCAUCUGUCUUAUUUCAGGACUAUUUUUUCUGUCUCUAAAAGUAAUCUUGAUGGCAGUGGUAGAGUUCUAGUAAAUAGUGAUUUGCAAGGAGAUGACUAAACAUUUGCAGAGACACUUCUUUAACUUUCAUUCAUUAUUUUUCUCUUAAUUUUAAGUUAAAAUUAAAAAUCUGCUUGGAACAAAGAAUAAAUUUGAAUCCUCUGUUCCACCCACCUGGACAGCCCAUUUCAAUGCCCAGUCACUCCUGUGAAGUUCUCCUUAAUACCC